rnacentral:rRNA from 1 species
AACGAACGCUGGCGGCAUGCCUAACACAUGCAAGUCGAACGAGACCUUCGGGUCUAGUGGCGCACGGGUGCGUAACGCGUGGGAAUCUGCCCUUGGGUUCGGAAUAACUCAGAGAAAUUUGAGCUAAUACCGGAUGAUGUCGUAAGACCAAAGAUUUAUCGCCCAAGGAUGAGCCCGCGUAGGAUUAGCUAGUUGGCGGGGUAAAGGCCCACCAAGGCGACGAUCCUUAGCUGGUCUGAGAGGAUGAUCAGCCACACUGGGACUGAGACACGGCCCAGACUCCUACGGGAGGCAGCAGUGGGGAAUAUUGGACAAUGGGCGGAAGCCUGAUCCAGCAAUGCCGCGUGAGUGAUGAAGGCCUUAGGGUUGUAAAGCUCUUUUACCCGGGAUGAUAAUGACAGUACCGGGAGAAUAAGCUCCGGCUAACUUCGUGCCAGCAGCCGCGGUAACAC